AGUGAACGCUGGCGGUAGGCCUAACACAUGCAAGUCGAACGGCAGCACAGUAAGAGCUUGCUCUUACGGGUGGCGAGUGGCGGACGGGUGAGGAAUACAUCGGCAUCUACUCUUUCGCCGCGGAUUACGCAGGGAAACUUACGCUAAUACCGCAUACGACCUACUGGUGAAAGCAGGGGAUCUUCGGACCUUGCGCGAUUGAAUGAGCCGAUGUCGGAUUAGUUUGUUGGCGGGGUAAAGGCCCACCAAGGCGACGAUACGUGGCUGGUCUGAGAGGAUGGGCAGCCCCACUAGAACUGAAACACGGUACAGACUCCUACGGGAGGCAGCAGUGGAGAGUAUUAGACUAGUGAAGGAAGCCUGACCCAACCAUACCGCGUAGGUGAAGAAGUCCUUCGGGUUGUAAAGCCCAUUUGUUGGGAAAGAAGAGCAGCGGGUUCAAACCGCGCUGUUCUGAAGGUACCGAAUGAAUAAGCACCGGCUAACUUCGUG
rnacentral:rRNA from 1 species